CUAUACAUGCAGUCGAGCGCAGGAAACUGACGGAACUCUUCGGAGGGAAGGCAGUGGAAUGAGCGGCGGACGGGUGAGUAACACGUAAGGAACCUGCCUCAAGGAUUGGGAUAACUCCGAGAAAUCGGAGCUAAUACCGGAUAGUUCAUCGGACCGCAUGGUCCGCUGAUGAAAGGCGCUCCGGCGUCACCUUGAGAUGGCCUUGCGGUGCAUUAGCUAGUUGGUGGGGUAACGGCCCACCAAGGCGACGAUGCAUAGCCGACCUGAGAGGGUGAUCGGCCACACUGGGACUGAGACACGGCCCAGACUCCUACGGGAGGCAGCAGUAGGGAAUCUUCCACAAUGGACGAAAGUCUGAUGGAGCAACGCCGCGUGAGUGAUGAAGGUUUUCGGAUCGUAAAACUCUGUUGUAAGGGAAGAACACGUACGAGAGGGAAUGCUCGUACCUUGACGGUACCUUACGAGAAAGCCACGGCUAACUACGUGCCAGCAGCCGCGGUAAUACGUAGGUGGCAAGCGUUGUCCGGAAUUAUUGGGCGUAAAGCGCGCGCAGGCGGCCUUUUAAGUCUGAUGUGAAAGCCCCCGGCUCAACCGGGGAGGGCCAUUGGAAACUGGAAGGCUUGAGUACAGAAGAGAAGAGUGGAAUUCCACGUGUAGCGGUGAAAUGCGUAGAGAUGUGGAGGAA
rnacentral:rRNA from 1 species